AUAAAUGGCUUUGCCACCCUGGACACACCUGUCCCCAGAAGCUAACCGGGGUUACGCCUGAUUAUUUCUUUAAUGAGAGAUUGUCUGGGACUACUAUGUGCUGUAAAUG
ensembl:rRNA 5S_rRNA 5S ribosomal RNA